AAAAACAAGCAAAGGCUGAGUGUAACGAAUUCCCAAUUUAAGGCAAAAUAGAAAAAUCUGAGGGAUUCUUUUAUAUAAAGAACCUCUCAUCUCCUGCAGCUGAAGGGCAGAAAAAGCUGAGGUUAUGAAUCAGAAAUUAUUUACAAGGGUAGAGUAGCUCAAGAAGCUUGAAUGCAUGGAUGUGAGGGUGGUCUGGCUGUGACAUCUGUCACCCCAUUGAUUGCCAGGGUUGAUUCGGUUGAUAUGGCUGGCUAGGUGGGUGUCCCCUUCCUGCCUCACCACUCCAUGUACAUCCCUCCUGAAGCUGCUUGCUUGGUCAAAGAGGACAACCAUCCCUGAUAGAGGAGGACCGGUCUUCAGUCAAGGGUAUACGAGUAGCUGCGCUCCCCUGCUAGAGCCUCCAAACAAGCUCUCAAGAAGAUUG
rnacentral:lncRNA from 1 species